rnacentral:rRNA from 1 species
GAUAAACGCUGGCGGCGCACAUAAGACAUGCAAGUUGAACGGACUUAAUCGAAAUAUUUAUAUUUUGAAGCGGUUAGUGGCGGACUGGUGAGUAACGCGUAAGGAACCUGCCUAUUAGAGGGGAAUAACAGUGAGAAAUCAUUGCUAAUACCGCAUAUGCCUUAGAUAUCACAUGAUAACAGUGGGAAAGGAGCAAUCCGCUAAUAGAUGGCCUUGCGUCUGAUUAGAUAGUUGGUGGGGUAACGGCCUACCAAGUCGACGAUCAGUAGCCGGACUGAGAGGUUGAACGGCCACAUUGGGACUGAGAUACGGCCCAGACUCCUACGGGAGGCAGCAGUCGGGAAUAUUGCGCAAUGGAGGAAACUCUGACGCAGUGACGCCGCGUAUAGGAAGAAGGUUUUCGGAUUGGAAACUAUUGUCGUUAGGGAAGAGAAAGGACAGUACCUAAGGAGGAAGCUCCGGCUAACUACGUG